rnacentral:rRNA from 1 species
GACGAACGCUGGCGGCGUGCUUAACACAUGCAAGUCGAACGGAAAGGCCCUGAUCUUGUGGGGUGCUCGAGUGGCGAACGGGUGAGUAACACGCGAGUAACCUGCACUUGACUUUGGGAUAACUUCAGGAAACUGGGGAUAAUACAGGAUAGGAGCUCCUGCUGCAUGGGGGGGGUUGGAAAGUUUCGGCGGUUGGGGAUGGACUCGCGGCUUAUCAGCUUGUUGGGGGGGUAGUGGCUUUCCAAGGCUUUGAAGGGUAGCCGGCCUGGGAGCGUGACCGGCCACCUUGGGCCUACGAUACGGCCCAGACUCCUACGGGAGGCAGCAGUGGGAAAUCUUGCACAAUGGGCCGAAGCCUGAUGCAGCAACGCCUCGUUCGUGAUGACGGCCUUCGGGUUGUAAACCGCUUUCUCCUGUGCCGAAGCGUGAGUGACGGUACUUGGUAAAGAAGCACCGGCUAACUACGUG